AUCGUUCAUCUCUCAAAUGAGACGGAAGUAGUUGGAAUAAUUAUCCAACUCGGGGAGGAUAAUCUCCAACGAAGGAACGCACC
rnacentral:ncRNA from 10 species